GUGCAAACCAGGAAGAGUCCCUCACCAGAGCCAGGCCAUGCUGCCCUGCUCUUAGACUUCCAGCUGCCAGAACUGUGAAGACCCUGGGCUCGGUGAGAAGGAACAGCAUGAUUAUGGCAACCUAUGAACAGAAAGAACCGAGCUUUGGAGACCUAACUACUCAUGGCUCUUGAUCCUACAGCGGAGGGCCGUCUCUUCAAAUAUUUGACCAUUUCCAUAUCUUCUUGCCACAUUCAUCUGCUGGACUCUCCCGGGACAGGGGAACCCAUGAUUUGCCUUCAUAAAAGAUCAACCUCCUAUAUUAAGAUGGAAUAUCUGCUACCAGAAUGGCUUGAUUAUUGGUACUAUGGUAUGAACACAUAAAAGCUAAGCCUUAUUGAUCAUAGAUGUAAAAAUUCCUGAAGAUCUUAACCUGUGUAAACAUUGUCAU